rnacentral:rRNA from 1 species
AAUCAACGCUGGCGGCGUGCCUAACACAUGCAAGUCGAACGCGAAAGCCCCUUCGGGGGUAAGUAGAGUGGCGUCCGGGUGAGUAACACGUAGGUAAUCUACCUUCGGGUGGGGAAGUAACCAGUCGAAAGAUUGGCUAAUACCGCAUAAUGCAGCGGCACCUAAUGGUGAUUAGUUGUUAAAGCGGGGGAGUCGUAAGACCUCGCGCCUGAAGAGGAGCCUGCGGCAGAUUAGCUAGUGGUAGGGUAACGGCCUACCAAGGCUAUGAUCAGUAGGGGGCGUGAGAGCGUCGGUCCCCACACGGGUACUGAGACACGGACCCGACUCCUACGGGAGGCANCAGUAAGGAAUAUUGGUCAAUGGAGGAAACU